rnacentral:misc_RNA from 1 species
UUAUUGCUAAUGGAUCGAAUGAGCUUCGACCUUGAACGUUGCCACAGUUAGCUGACGGUUAUCAUAACGCUUUCUUUCCAAAUGACAAUUGUGAUUGGUCGAGAAGCUGCAACCAGGACUGUUUCAAAAGACAUAAUCGAACGUUUCGUCCAUUUGGUCGUACGGGCCAGACUUAACGUAACUUAACGGCACCUUGCUACUCAAUGACGCUAGUCAGGCAUAGUUAUGGCUGCGCCCUGUAAUUCCAGAAGUUGGUGACUUAUUAUUGCCGUUUGACAGAUGCUACCACUUAAUAAUUCAUUUUAAUAAAAGGCGAGAAAAUUGUUUACCCUGUGUGACGAUUUGAAAAAAAUAAAAGGAAAAUGGGGACUCGACAAGACGAUGAGUUUGAAGAAUUACAAUCCACAACGUACACAUUUCCUUCCGAUGUUCAAACCGUUAUCGAACAGGUUUUACCAAGUACCGAUCCCUUAGAUCAACCAAACUUCAAUGCUGUGGAUUACAUAAAUUCCUUGUUUCCCACCGAACAAUCAUUAUCCAACAUAGACGAUGUGAUAAGUAAAAUGGAAUAUAAAAUUUGCUCCAUCGAUCAGGAAAUCCGAUCAGUUGUCAGAGGGCAAACUAAUGUCGGGCAGGAUGGCCGUGUUGCAUUGGAAGAUGCUCAUAAAGUAAUCAGACAGUUAUUCAUUCAUAUUAAGGACAUAAAGGAUAAGGCAGAGCAAUCUGAAGAAACUGUUAAGGAAAUUACUCGAGAUAUAAAACAACUGGACUUUGCUAAACGGAAUUUAACAUCAUCUAUCACUGCUUUGAAUCAUUUACACAUGUUGGUCGGAGGUGUAGAUAGUUUGAAAGCUCUAACACAGAAAAAACAAUAUGGGGAAAUAGUGAUGCCUCUUCAAGCGAUUAUGGAAGUUAUGCAACAUUUUAGUAAUUACAUGGAUAUUCCUCAAAUUAAACAGCUUUCUGAUCAGGUGAAACAAAUUCAAGUCGAAUUGGCUGAACAAAUAACUGCUGAUUUUCGAGAAGCAUUUUCUGGCCAGAAUCCCAAACACUUUGCUCAAUUAAGCGAAGGUUGUCUUGUUAUGUCAGUCUUAGAUCCUAGAGUAAAGAAAGAUCUGCUGAGCUGGUUUAUUGCCAUGCAAUUACAAGAGUACUCUCACUUGUUCGAUGAGAAUCAAGAUUCAGCUUGGUUGGAUAAAAUUGACAGACGAUAUGCUUGGAUUAAAAAACACUUAUUAGAAUUUGAGAGCAAGUUUGGUUCAAUAUUUCCCCAAAACUGGGAAGUCUCUGAAAGGAUCGCUGUGCAGUUCUGUCAUAUGACACGAGAAGACUUGAGCAAACUUAUGGAGCGAAGGCGACACGAAAUUGAUGUUAAACUUCUUCUUUACGCGAUACAGAGGACUACAAGUUUUGAGAAUUUAUUAGCCAAAAGGUUUGCCGGACUUACGCUAGAAAAUUCUGAUGCACUUUUUGAAAAAAAACCUAGGAAUCCUUUCGAAGAAAAUGAAGAGGUUAAAAACCCCUUCGAGGAAGGGUAUACCGAGCAAGGGGAGCCAGAAAAGUCUAACACAUCUCUCUUCACUCGUUUAAUUGGAAAGUGUUUUGAACCAUACCUAAAUAUUUAUAUAGAGAGUCUGGAUAGAAAUUUGGCAGACUUGAUGGACAAAUUUUUAAAUGAUUGUAAACUGCAACCUCCUGGAGCAAAAGAGCUUGAUGGUGUUGAGGGGCCGAGUAGUGUCUUAUCUUCAUGUGCAGAUCUUUUUGUGUUUUACAAAAAAUGCAUGAUACAAUGUACGCAACUUAGUACAGGCUUUAUCAUGCUUAAUCUGACUUCCACUUUCCAAAAGUAUCUUCGAGAAUAUGCAUUGAAACUGUUGCAGAAUAAUUUACCAAAAAUUGGCGGUGGCGCUAGUAUUGGGACCAGUAUGAGUAACAUAACACGUGAUCUUCGAGACCUGUCAACGGCCGGUCUUAUACAGAAUUUUCAAAGCUUUCUCAAAGAAGGUGAAUCUACUAGAUUUAAUAAGGAGGAACAAUCUCGGAUUUGCUGUAUCCUGACAACAGCGGAAUAUUGUCUUGAGACAACCCAACAACUAGAAGAAAAGCUAAGAGAAAAGACAGACGCACAGUUUUCCGAGAAGAUUAAUUUAUCACAGGAACAAGAUAUAUUUCACAGUGUUAUAUCCAACUGUAUUCAGCUGUUAGUACAAGAUCUGGAGUCUGCUUGUGAAUCCGCAUUGACUGCAAUGAGCAAGGUACAAUGGAUACACAUUGAAAGUGUGGGAGACCAAAGUGCAUAUGUCAGUACUAUCAUUUCACAUCUUAGGCAGAAUAUUCCUUCUAUUCGAGAAAGAUUAUCAUCUUGUAGAAAAUAUUUUACACAACUUUGUGUUAAAUUCGCAAGUUCAUUCAUUCCAAAAGUAGUGCAGCAGCUGUAUAAAUGUAAGCCUUUGAACACAGUUGGGGCAGAACAGUUGUUACUAGAUGUUCACAUGCUCAAGACAGCACUACUCGAUUUACCAUCAACUGGGUGUCAAAUACAAAGAAAAGCACCCGCAACAUAUACAAAGGUAGUUGUCAAGGGUAUGACCAAAGCUGAGAUGAUAUUGAAGGUGGUAAUGUCUCCUGCAGAAUCUCCGAGUGCUUUUGCGGACCAGUGCAGGAAACUGCUUCCUGAUUUACCAACCGCAGAAUUUCAGAAAAUACUUGAUAUGAAGGGAUUACGACGAACAGAACAAAUGCAAUUAGUGGACCAAUUUAGGCAGAGUGGAAGCAGCUUGUUGUUAGGAGAUACCACGAUCAUUGCUCAAGAUAGUCCAGAGCAUGAGGCUGGACGUAUUAAAAGGUUAGAAAAAUUGAUAAAGAAAAGGAUGUGAAUGAUUGGACUUUUUGGUCGUCAUUUAAAAAUAGUUUUUUACACCGGGUGAGAGGCUGGAAAAUCUCCAGAUACAUGUCAGUUCCCAAUACCGAUAGAAAACUGAAACACUAAUGAAAACAAAGCAUUUGGUGUGCUGGAUACACAGGGAGAGAAUUCCGGGUAACAAGAUUACAAUAUUUACUUCGGUUGCUGAACACGUCACUAUAAAUUAUAUUAUAUUCAUAAGACCUGUACUGUACAAUUAUGUAUAAAUAUCGCAUGUACUGAUACAGCUGAGCGUAUAUAGUAGCAUAGACAAACUACAAAGUAAACUACAUGCGUAUAAUAAAGAAUAUUACUAUCAUUUA